rnacentral:rRNA from 1 species
UAAAGCGUGCGCAGGCGGUUUUGUAAGACUGUCGUGAAAUCCCCGGGCUCAACCUGGGAAUGGCGAUGGUGACUGCAAGGCUAGAGUUUGGCAGAGGGGGGUAGAAUUCCACGUGUAGCAGUGAAAUGCGUAGAUAUGUGGAGGAACACCGAUGGCGAAGGCAGCCCCCUGGUCAAAACUGACGCUCAUGCACGAAAGCGUGGGGAGCAAACAGGAUUAGAUACCCUUGU